rnacentral:tRNA from 1 species
CGGGCUGUGGCGCAGACUGGCAGCGCGUUCGCUUGGGGUGCGAGAGGUCGGCGGUUCAAAUCCGCCCAGCCCGACCA